rnacentral:rRNA from 1 species
UAUCAUGCAAGUCGAGCGAAUGGAUUAAGAGCUUGCUCUUAUGAAGUUAGCGGCGGACGGGUGAGUAACACGUGGGUAACCUGCCCAUAAGACUGGGAUAACUCCGGGAAACCGGGGCUAAUACCGGAUAACAUUUUGAACCGCAUGGUUCGAAAUUGAAAGGCGGCUUCGGCUGUCACUUAUGGAUGGACCCGCGUCGCAUUAGCUAGUUGGUGAGGUAACGGCUCACCAAGGCAACGAUGCGUAGCCGACCUGAGAGGGUGAUCGGCCACACUGGGACUGAGACACGGCCCAGACUCCUACGGGAGGCAGCAGUAGGGAAUCUUCCGCAAUGGACGAAAGUCUGACGGAGCAACGCCGCGUGAGUGAUGAAGGCUUUCGGGUCGUAAAACUCUGUUGUUAGGGAAGAACAAGUGCUAGUUGAAUAAGCUGGCACCUUGACGGUACCUAACCAGAAAGCCACGGCUAACUACGUGCCAGCAGCCGCGGUAAUACGUAGGUGGCAAGCGUUAUCCGGAAUUAUUGGGCGUAAAGCGCGCGCAGGUGGUUUCUUAAGUCUGAUGUGAAAGCCCACGGCUCAACCGUGGAGGGUCAUUGGAAACUGGGAGACUUGAGUGCAGAAGAGGAAAGUGGAAUUCCAUGUGUAGCGGUGAAAUGCGUAGAGAUAUGGAGGAACACCAGUGGCGAAGGCGACUUUCUGGUCUGUAACUGACACUGAGGGCGCGAAAGCGUGGGGAGCAAACAGGAUUUAGAUACCCUGGUAGU